CCAAAUGGGCCAGUGCAAAUCCUACUUGGAUAACUGUGGUAAUUCCAGAGCUAAUACAUGCAACUGAUAUCCCGAAGGCGGUGUUUGUUCUUGCUUGUCUUGCGCUUUCGCUGCUCUGACGGAUGCUUUUAUUAGACCAAGCCGCUGAGGACUUGAGGGUUCGCGCUCUCUUGUUUGACUCGUGUGAUGGUGACUCUGGAUAACCAAAUUCUGACAAGCGCACGUACUUCUCUUCUGAGCGAGACGGCGCUGCCACUUUCGAGUGUCUGCCUUAUCAGCUAUCAACCGUUCGUUAUGCGCGACCGAUGGCUUUGACGGGUAACGGGGAAUCAGGGUUCGAUUCCGGAGAGGCAGCCUGAGAGACGGCUACCACGUCCAAGGACGGCAGCAGGCACGCAAAUUACCCAAUCCCAGCAAAUGGGGGAGGUAGUGACGAAAUCUAACGAUGCGGGCGCCCUUUCUGGGGCCCCGCAAUCGGAAUGGGCACUUUCUAAACAACCUGUUGAGAACCUACUGAAGG
rnacentral:rRNA from 1 species